rnacentral:rRNA from 1 species
GGGGAAUAUUGCACAAUGGGGGAAACCCUGAUGCAGCGACGCCGCGUGGAGGAAGAAGGUCUUCGGAUUGUAAACUCCUGUUGUUGGGGAAGAUAAUGACGGUACCCAACAAGGAAGUGACGGCUAACUACGUGCCAGCAGCCGCGGUAAUACGUAGGGGGCAAGCGUUAUCCGGAUUUACUGGGUGUAAAGGGAGCGUAGACGGAUGGACAAGUCUGAUGUGAAAGGCUGGGGCUCAACCCCGGGACUGCAUUGGAAACUGCCCGUCUUGAGUGCCGGAGAGGUAAGCGGAAUUCCUAGUGUAGCGGUGAAAUGCGUAGAUAUUAGGAGGAACACCAGUGGCGAAGGCGGCCUACUGGGCACCAACUGACGCUGAGGCUCGAAAGUGUGGGUAGCAAACAGGAUUAGAUACCCUGGUAGUCCACACCGUAAACGAUGAUUACUAGGUGUUGGAGGAUUGACCCCUUCAGUGCCGCAGUUAACACAAUAAGUAAUCCACCUGGGGAGUACGACCGCAAGGUUGAAACUCAAAGGAAUUGACGGGGGCCCGCACAAGCAGUGGAGUAUGUGGUUUAAUUCGACGCAACGCGAAGAACCUUACCAAGUCUUGACAUCCUGCGACGGUGCUGGAAACAGCAUUUUCCUUCGGGACGCAGAGACAGGUGGUGCAUGGUUGUCGUCAGCUCGUGUCGUGAGAUGUUGGGUUAAGUCCCGCAACGAGCGCAACCCUUACUGUCAGUUACUACGCAAGAGGACUCUGGCAGGACUGCCGUUGACAAAACGGAGGAAGGUGGGGAUGACGUCAAAUCAUCAUGCCCUUUAUGACUUGGGCUACACACGUACUACAAUGGCGUUAAACAAAGAGAAGCAAGACCGCGAGGUGGAGCAAAACUCAGAAACAACGUCCCAGUUCGGACUGCAGGCUGCAACUCGCCUGCACGAAGUCGGAAUUGCUAGUAAUCGUGGAUCAGCAUGCCACGGUGAAUACGUUCCCG